CCUACGGGGGGCAGCAGUGGGGCAUAUUGCACAAUGGGGGAAACCCUGAUGCAGCGACGCCGCGUGAGUGAAGAAGUAAUUCGUUAUGUAAAGCUCUAUCAGCAGGGAAGAAAAUGACGGUAACUGAGUAAGAAGCCCCGGCUAACUACGUGCCAGCAGCCGCGGUAAUACGUAGGGGGCAAGCGUUAUCCGGAUUUACUGGGUGUAAGGGGAGCGUAGGCGGCAGUGCAAGUCUGGCGUGAAAGGCGGGGGCUCAACCUCCGGACUGCUCUGGAAACUGUGCGGCUGGAGUGCAGGAGAGGUAAGUGGAAUUCCUGGUGUAGCGGUGAAAUGCGUAGAGAUUGGGAGGAACACCAGUGGCGAAGGCGGCUUACUGGACUGUAACUGACGUUGAGGCUCGAAAGCGUGGGGAGCAAACAGGAUUAGAUACCCGUGUAGUC
rnacentral:rRNA from 1 species